AAGAACCUUACCAGGGCUUGACAUGGAGACGAGAGGUAAGAAACUAUCUCAACCUAUACUUAGGUAUAGGGAUCUCACACAGGUGGUGCACGGCCGUCGUCAGCUCGUGCCGUGAGGUGUUGGGUUAAGUCCCACAACGAGCGCAACCCCUAUAGUUAGUUGCCAGCAAGAGAGAUGGGCUACACUAGCUAGACAGCCGUCGACGAGACGGAGGAAGGAGGGGAUGACGUCAGGUAAGCGUGCCCCUAAUGCUCUGGGCGACACACGUGCUACAAUGGUGAGGGCAAAAGGCAGCGAAGUCGCGAGGCAGAGCGAAUCCAAGAAACCUCAUCGUAAUUCGGAUUGCAGGCUGAAACCCGCCUGCAUGAAACCGGAAUCGCUAGUAAUCGCAGGUCAGCCAAACUGCGGUGAAUACGUU
rnacentral:rRNA from 1 species